AGCAUUGAUCUGCUACAUUUGCUAUCGUUAUGAUGUUAUUUCAAUAAAGUUAUGGCCCAGUCACCCAAUGUACCAUAUUUAGCUGAAUAGAAGAUGACUUUGAAUUUAAGACAACCGCUUUGAAUAAUAAAGGUGAAAUGCAGAUUGUGCCUCUAUUUAACUGAAAGCAGCAGGACUGGAUUUAAAAUGACACCCCCAUUUCAAACAUCAAAGAACUUUGCGGGGGGGACCUAGUCUGGGAAUCAGGGAAAUAUGGAUGAAAUGUUCUCCUAAUCCUAAUCCUGGGGGGCUUUCUCUGUGCCUGCUGUUUUAUCUCAAUCAAGCAAACCAGAAGAGAGGUGAAGUUGCUUGAAAUUUCCCUACACGUCUCC